AUUGAACGCUGGCGGCAUGCCUUACACAUGCAAGUCGAACGGUAACAGGUCUUCGGAUGCUGACGGGUGGCGAACGGGUGAGUAAUACAUCGGAACGUGCCUAGUAGUGGGGGAUAACUACUCGAAAGAGUGGCUAAUACCGCAUGAGAUCUACGGAUGAAAGCAGGGGAUCGCAAGACCUUGUGCUACUAGCGCGGCCGAUGGCAGAUUAGGUAGUUGGUGGGAUAAAAGCUUACCAAGCCGACGAUCUGUAGCUGGUCUGAGAGGACGAUCAGCCACACUGGGACUGAGACACGGCCCAGACUCCUACGGGAGGCAGCAGUGGGGAAUUUUGGACAAUGGGCGAAAGCCUGAUCCAGCAAUGCCGCGUGCAGGAUGAAGGCCUUCGGGUUGUAAACUGCUUUUGUACGGAACGAAAAGCCCCGGGUUAAUACCCUGGGGUCAUGACGGUACCGUAAGAAUAAGCACCGGCUAACUACGUGCCAGCCGCCGCAGUAA
rnacentral:rRNA from 1 species